rnacentral:lncRNA from 1 species
GGAAUUUGGUUCUCCCUUCAAGCGUCGGUGCUGAUCAUCUUCAUUGAUGUGUGGUCAUCGGCAGUGACAAUCCCGUGUUGUGGGCUGGUUACGGUGGAUUUGCGUAGCUUGUGUUUGUGGACGAGCAGCGGGGCAUUCCACUCGUCGACGUUGACUUUGCUAUAGUUGGAGGCGGAGGAUCGACUCAUCCAUGUCCGAGGACCAGUCCGAGGCGUAGGGCAAUUUUUUUUGUUUUUUUAAAGAAUAGUUAGGAAGAAAACCAGUAUGUUUUGAGCUGGAAGAGAGAACGAGCAGUGCACAAGUACAUUGUUGGGUCUAACGAGCAUGAGACCUGUGGAAUCAUUGACAAGCUAAUUAGGUUAUUGGGUCACUGCAAGGAUUUCAAUCAGUUACAUCCAAUUGCUCUUGCAGUGCACAUGCGAUAGUAUUAAAAAAAAACUCCUUGCAUCUAAGCUCAUACGUUCUGCGGCAUUGUUGGAACCGGAAUUCAGGCUUCGCACGGAAUAACUUGGAACAUCAUGGCAUUAUCGGCGCUUAGUUGAGCUGGUCAUCCCGGGUUCAUUGUGUGAUCUGGACCGUAGUUCGUACAGACUGCGAAUCGCAAAUUAGAUUUCCGUCCAGUUGAUUGCUACGGAUCACGAACUUCUUUGGGAGUCGGAAGCUUGGUUAUGGUACUAGCAAUUGAAAUUAAUUCUUUGCUUCAAAUCCUUGUUACCAUUUGAGGAGCAGCUUCGAGAAAGAGCUUUUGAACUAGAGUCGCUGCUGCGGACGUGGAGCUAGUUGUAGGCCGAAUUCUCUUCUUCUUAGUAAGAAUUCCAAAGAGGACCAGUU